rnacentral:rRNA from 1 species
UGCUAGUCGCACGGGUUUAGACCCGUGGCGGAUAGCUCAGUAACACGUGGCCAAACUGUCCUAUGGAUCGAGACAACCUCGGGAAACUGAGGCUAAUCUCGAAUAAGGCUUCCACUCUGGAGUGAGGGAAGCUGGAAAUGCUACGGCGCCAUAGGGUGUGGCUGCGGCCGAUUAGGUAGACGGUGGGGUAACGGCCCACCGUGCCGAUAAUCGGUACGGGUUGUGAGAGCAAGAGCCCGGAGACGGAUUCUGAGACAAGAAUCCGGGCCCUACGGGGCGCAGCAGGCGCGAAAACUUUACACUGCACGACAGUGCGAUAAGGGGACUCCGAGUGCGAGGGCAUAUAGUCCUCGCUUUUGUACACCGUAAGGUGGUGUACGAAUAAGGGCUGGGCAAGACCGGUGCCAGCCGCCGCGGUAAUACCGGCAGCCCGAGUGAUGGCCGCUAUUAUUGGGCCUAAAGCGUCCGUAGCCAGCCAGACAGGUCCGUCGGGAAAUCCAUCCGCUUAACGGAUGGGCGUCCGGCGGAAACCAGCUGGCUUGGGGCCGGAAGACCUGAGGGGUACGUCCGGGGUAGGAGUGAAAUCCCGUAAUCCUGGACGGACCGCCGGUGGCGAAAGCGCCUCAGGAGGACGGACCCGACGGUGAGGGACGAAAGCUAGGGUCACGAACCGGAUUAGAUACCCGGGUAGUCCUAGCUGUAAACGAUGCUCGCUAGGUGUGGCGCUGGCUACGAGCCAGCGCUGUGCCGUAGGGAAGCCGAGAAGCGAGCCGCCUGGGAAGUACGUCCGCAAGGAUGAAACUUAAAGGAAUUGGCGGGGGAGCACUACAACCGGAGGAGCCUGCGGUUUAAUUGGAUUCAACGCCGGG